UACAGAGGUCCCGAGCGUUGUUCGGAUUCACUGGGCGUAAAGCGUGCGCAGGCGGUUAUGCAAGACAGAUGGUGAAAUCCCCCGGGCUCAACCUGGGAACUGCAUUUGUGACUGCAUGACUAGAGUACGGCAGAGGGGGAUGGAAUUCCGCGUGUAGCAGUGAAAUGCGUAGAUAUGCGGAGGAACACCGAUGGCGAAGGCAAUCCCCUGGGCCUGUACUGACGCUCAUGCACGAAAGCGUGGGGAG
rnacentral:rRNA from 1 species